rnacentral:ribozyme from 14 species
UGCAGCUUUCUUUCUUUCUCUUUCUUUCUCUUUCUUUCUCUCUCUCUUUCUCUCUUUAGUUCCUAUUUUAAUGGAAAAAGGUUAAAGUAAAAGAAAAGAAA